GCAGCCAAAAAAAGGUAUGAAGGCUUUCAUACAUCAAAUAAAGAAGCAACAUCAAGGGGAGUUUCAGUAUUGUGAUCCGUGAUGCAAUCAAAGGACAAAGCAUGGGAUUGUCAGCAAUUUCACUACACAUUCUUUACAGGAAGGCAUUUGAAAAAAAAAGUCCAGGGUGGACGUGUGCGGAAGGAAGAACAUCAGCAUUUCUGCAAUGCAACCCGCAGAAAAAGGCAUAAUAGAAGCUUUUUUAGGGAAUUUGUGAAGGGAUGGUAGAACAAAGUGCCGAAGCGUUUGGGAUUCCGCACUGGGGCCUUUUGAAGAGGACGCCGCUGAAUUGAUAACGACGGUGGAUUUGCGGCGGUGGUCCCCAGUGGCGCUGUGGCCGGGGAUCUGUCCACUCUGUCCUCAUUAAAACAGCCCCAUGCCUCAUGUGUUUAUGAGGGAUGAAGGAUAAAGCGGAGAGAGGGAAGACAGAGAGAGCGAGAGAGGAAGAGAAACGCAGCACUUUCGAAGUUUGUCAUGAUGUAAAUUAAUGAUAGGUAUUUUUAGCCGGGGAUCUAAUCAUCAUGCGUGUGGAGAUGGAGCUCCGGCAAGUGAAACAGGAAAAAGAAACGAGCAAAGAAGACGUGGGAUGUCCGCUUCUGCCGUAUUACUAGCAGCGGCUCUUUUCAACAGCCAUACCUGUACGCAAGGUCAGUUCCAGUUUAUUUCACACAUCAGCUGCUAUGGGAAUAUGUUUGAACCGUAAGAAUUCAUCAUUAUUUUCCUCGUUCUUGUUCACGAACACCCAAAAACUUUAAAACAAGUCCAUUUUUAGAUGAGGUCUUCAAAAAUGAAAACAAGAAACUUGUGAGGAACAUAAAAUCAGAGUGACAACUUGGUUUUAUGAUUGACCGUUCAAGACCCCCUGCGGUGGGGUUUCAAAUAAUGUAAUAAGCCCUGUGGCAGUCAUGAUGGAGGUGCUCAGGCUUUUUUUGGGCGGGAGUGACCGAGGACUGCUGAUUACAUCUUUAAAUGUAUGAAUGGCCUGAUUCUUUACUGGGAAGACAUCAUUUUGCUACUGGUGUAACCGAGUCAUUUUGGGUUUCAAUAAUAGUAUCAGAUCUGCUAAAAUGAAAGUCUUUUCAACAUAUCUGACUGGUUUUAGCCCAUAUAUCAUGUAAAAUAAUCUUGCAUUUAUAUAUAUAUUGUUUGCAUUUUAAGUUUUUUGUCACACUAGUGGUAUUGGAAGGCAGUUUUGGUCUGUCAGUCGGUCAGACUGAGAAAUCUUUACAACUUCUGGAUGAAUUGAGGUGAAUUUUUAUACAGACAUUCAUGAUCCCAAAAAGGAUAAAUCCUACCGACUUCGGUGAUCCCCUGACUUUUCCUCUAGCGCCAGGAUGAGGUUGACAUUUGUGAUUUUGAGUGAAAUGUCUGAUUAAAUAUUGGAUUGAAAUCUGGUUCAGACAUUCAUGUCCCCUUUGGGAUAUAUUUCAGAAUCUUUGGUGAUCCCCUUACUUUUCAUCUAGUGCUUAGUGUUGCCAACUAUUUUCAGUGGAAAGUCAUUAGGUGUUGCUAGGUUGUGUCAAACCAGGGAGCCGUAUCCAUGAGAGCACAUUCACUGAGAAAUAUUGGUAAUACUGGCGCAAAAGGGGUGUUUAAAGUUAAAAAUUGAGCAAGAAAGUCAUUUUGGGACAAAAUUUGACACACUAAGAUGAACUAGCAUUUAGCUCAAAGAACUGCCUCACAGAGCUUCUUAUUCUCAUUUUAACAUAUGGUGUAGAUUCAGCAGUCUGUAUAUGCACAGUGAACAAAACCUGGCUAAAACAUGGAGUUUGUAAGUUCUCACAAAUGAUAUAGUGAUGGAGACUUCAAUGUUUUUUCCCCCUCCUGUAGCUGGCAGCUGAUUGACAAGAACCAAGGGGAAAUAUAUUUAAAAUGUCACAUAUUUAGCCAUUUUUUUCACAAAGCAAAUGACCUACUGGGCUUCAGUCUUGGCCAGCCUUUUCUGACACAAAGGCCACAGCUCAUAUAUAAUGUUAUGUGCAGUAAAGAUGUGAAUAUCCUACCAAUAUAGAAUCACAAAGGGUGUUAUUUAGGAAGUGAUUGCGGCUGUGAUUAUGAUGUGAAUAACUGCAGUCCAAAGUGCUUGUAAUCAUUCUUAAGGCUUUCCAGUAUGUCUUUUCUACUCCUGCCCCCCCACCUCACACAAGCUAUUAUACAGCGAAUAAACUAAAAAGAAAGAUACAGUAGCUUAAAAGCUUCUUUGUCACAAGAACCAAGAUAUGAAUUCAAAACAUGUUUGCAAGGUGUCAGAUUGUUCGCACAAUGUCUGUCAGAAAUACAUCUGCCAUCAAAAGAUACUCAGAAUCGCAUUCAUCGUGUUUUAUAAUGCUCCAUCUCAAUAAAUGAAAUUGAUUGCAGCCAUAAUGGGGAAGAUUGUAAUUUGCUUCAUGCUGAAGAGACAGAACAUUUUAAAAAGGCUGCUACAGUAUCAUAAUACAUUAAGUGCCGCGCGCCUUGAGUGGUAAGAGAGGUUGAUGGUGUGUAAGAAUGGGUUAUGUGUUUGGACAGUGGAGAAAAUUUGGCUUCAUCAUCAGAUGUCUUGAUGUGCAGUGACUGAGAAAGACUAACAUGUUUGUUUAUGGAAAACAGACGGAGAUGACCUGAGAGAAACACAUGCUGCUCAGUUAGUUAAUGUGCUCUCCUUUGGCAUCUCGUGUCGUAAUAUGAAGAUUGACCGCACAGGGUUUCUUUAGAACUUCUAAGUGGGUGAAUAAGCUUGUCAGAGUCAUGUAGAAAUCUGAAGAGCAGCUUUACAUUUUCCAAAACAGUUGACUCAUACGCGCAGACCCGGUUGUCUGUGCUGCUGCCACCGAAGAUAAGACGUGUUCACAUACACAACAUAAAAAGCUCUGGACGUUUUAAAAAAAAAAAAACAGACGCAGACCAGCUGCCAUGAAAGCUUUUUGUUAUUUUUAUCAUGGAAGCAUCUGUUCCGCACUGAAAGGUAAUUCUUUUUUAACUGGCUUUUAGUAAGAUCUCCAAAUGUAAUCUCCAUUGUUCCGUAAUUAUCAAGGGAUCUCGCUCUGAUCAGAAAAUCUUGAAUAAAGCACAGAUUUACGUUUUAAAUGGGGAGGAUUUAGUAUGUGAACUAUAAAAUGUAUUCCAAAGUCUUUUUAGAGUGAAAAAACAGCUAUCUGAGCUAUUGCCAAGAGGCCAAAUUUAAAACAUAAACCAUGAAAUUAUGCGGCGAUUUUUAUCAAAACAUGUUUGAGCAAUUAGCUAUUGACAUGUUUGGGGGCAAUGGCGACAUUCAGCUAAAGCAAACAGAAAACUUUGAGGCUUUAAUUUAGUGUCACUGAGGACUUUAGCUGCUGAUCUGUUGCAGCUACAGACAGAAAAGAAAAAAGAAGUCUAUUCAUAUGGCGAUGAACUUAGACUGAGGGAGAAAAAGGGUUAUUACUGCAAAUCCUUUCACUGACAGCAGAGACAUAAUGGAAACCCAUUUGCGACCAAUAGCUUUUUCACUAUGUACAGUACUGCGACAGCCACUCUCGUCACUCUAUGAACAAAUUGUACAUAUGCUCAAAAACAGUCAAUUGAUUGUCCGAACUCAAAGCCGAGAGUAGGUUUAAUAAUGGCCUGGUCACAAAUACUGCCAUCUGUAGUCGCAUGAGGUAAUGAUUAUUACCUAAAUUAAAUCACAUCUAGGCGCUGGAAGACGUCCGGUGCAGCAGAAUGACCUGUCAUACAAAAUCAAAUGUGAUUUCGGUGCUUUUUAGGUGGCGGGUAACUUAAUAAGGCGCUGGUUAAUGGAACAAUAAACCCUUUGAGGACUCUAAUUUCAUGCCAGUAUAAAGCCGUUGGCAGAGCUAAUGCAGCCAUCAUGUCAUUUUCUUCUGGCUCUCGAGCGUUUUAAUGUGCAAGAACAAAAAAAAAAAAAAAGUUCUUAAAAUUAAGUAGUUUGUGCUUCAAUUAUCCAUUUUAUUUACAAUGCGAGUCUCCUGAUAUAUGUUGCCAAUUCCAGGUAUACUGUUGAUUUGAAGAAGUGAAACUCCUUUUUCUAAAAGCAGAUUUAAGACAUAACAUUGUCUCUUCAUGUAAACAUUUAUUAAGAAAGAAUAGUUAAACUGUUAAAGUAUGACAAAAUUGCCCCACACAUUAAAACUGUAGUCCCACGUCACCAUGAGGUCUCUGAGGUCUUCUGUUCAGGGUUUGUUGGUUUGUUUCCAGGCAAUGAAGUUAUGGCUCCCGUUGGACUUAAGUGAAGCACUUGGUGACGUCUGAUCUAGAAAGGUGCUAUAAAAAUACAUUUUUUCUCACUUAACUACAAACCAUUACAACGUGUGGCUAUGAUUCAUGGACGCACUUUGAGCUAAGCCUCAUCAUUAGCGCCAGCAGAGAGGCUGAUACUGUGGCCCUCAAUGUGGCCCAAUGCAUUAAGUUCAUCCUCUCCAUCUUCCUCAUCUGAUCCCUUAUCUGUGUCUGAUGAGCCAGUGGGAGGCAGAACCAUAAUCUGCACUCCUCUUUUCCUUCUGCCAUGGAAAAUGUUGACGAAAGAGAAAUUCCCAGAAAAGCCCUACUGAUGAAUUAUUUCUAAUUGAACUUCAACUUAAGAUUUUAUUAAAUGUAUCAUUUAAGAAAAUUAUAAAUAAAACAUUUCAACUUUCAUUGUCAGCCUAUUUAAUAAGAGUUCUUGUUUGAAUGUAAAUAGUGAAAAAAAAAGAGAUCAAAAUCUUUUAAUACCAAUUUUCCCAUUUCCCGCAGGUCCCUCCUGCCUGUUAUUCCCUGACUUUAAGUUGCUCACAGCAGCUCCCGUCCAGUGCAAUGUAACAGAAGAAGCAACUAAUGGUUGUUAAGUAUGAUCUGUUUACAGAAAUAAUCUAGUCAAAGGAGUUUUAAAAGUUUUUGCCAAAAAAAAUCGCACUGAUUUAUCAUAAUCACUGAUCUUUUUGUUGAACUCACAACUUGUAAUUUUUCUUCCUCUUGCAAGAUGAAUACGCACUUCCAGUCCUAAAAAACGUCUUCUCUUGAACUAAUAUUCAAAGCGCCGACAUCAGGUCUCAUAUAGCGGCAGCUGGGGUGAUUUACUGGAGUUAAUACCCUGCUAAAUUAAAAAGUUGUGGUGACACAAAAGUUUGUACUCUUGACAAUAAUUUGCGACAGGCUGAGUAAAUAUCUCCCUGUAUGUGCAGUUCAAUCCCCAAAUCAAUGAUUCACGCUCAAACUGGGACACCUAAAUUGAGGGCCCCCUCAAAGAGGAUACAAACAUUUUAGGGCUCAGGUUGUGUCGAGGUGGCACAGUUUGGUUUCUGUACUUUUUUUGGCAUUAGAAUUGUGCUUUCACCUAUUUUUUUGUCUUUUUUCUUUCCGUCACUAAUGUUCAUUUUGUCCUUCACAUUCGGACCCAUUUUUUUGUAUUCAUGCAGCCUGCUUUAUAAGUUUUACCUGAGCAGGUGUUUCAUGUAUACGCAUCACUAUGCAUGAAUAUGAGCAUAUUUCUC